CGGGAGCUCCCGCUCUCUUUCUCUGCGCGGAGCGGCGGCUGCAGGUAGGUCCGGGCCCGGGCCCGGCGGCGGCCUCCCCCCCUUCUUUCCGUUUCCUUCCCUUCUACGCUGUGCCCUGAGCUCCCUACGAAGGGCCACGCUGCUCGUAGCCCAUGUUUCCGUGGGAAUAAGAAGCCGCGAGCGGCCUUCGCUGGGUGCGCGGUGCUGCUGAGGGAACACCCUGCGGCCGCGCUGCCCCCGGCUGACCCUCACUGUCUUUUCCUCUUUCCUCAGGCUGUGCUGACGCCUGACCCGGCCUGGCCCCAUCCAGCUCGCUCCUGCCGUGAGUAUCUCUCGUGGGGUCACGUCUGUGAGCCGCGUGUAGGCGGAACGUGGGUUUGGGGGUGAAGGUGGUAGCUACAGCGCUUUUAAUCGUUCAUCCAACGUGGAUAUCCGGAGAAGUUGCUCUCUCUCGGCUCUGUCCGUGUGGCGCAUGGGAGCGUAGGCCUUCGGGCCCGUGACGUAUGGUCCCUUUCCACGACGUUGGAGAUCAAGCCGGGCCUAGAGUCUGCAGCCUGCAUAUUCCUACUGCUUCUCUGAGCCCUCGGGCGGUGACAGAGGAGAUAAACCAUGCAGGAAACAGCUCUGCUAGGCAGAAUGGCGCCGGGGAGGGUGGGGGUGUGGAAGGACAUGUGCCAGUCUGAAUGGCUGGGGGGCAGAAAGGGAAAAAGAGAAACUUUAGAGCAAUUAACUUAAAAUACAUUUUGGUGUGGUUUUUUUCCAGUUCUAAAGUUGAAAAGUUUUGGAGUGCAGCAGUGAUUUGUAAGAAAAUUCCUCCGGCUGCUGAACACGGUAAGAACGGCUACAAGGUCGCAGAGACCUCCGGUUUGUGAAAAACAUUCCGGUAAGUCACGUGGCAGUUGGGUGAAACGUGCGGGAAUGCGGAGACUUGCAAGUGCAUGGUGUUGUCAUGGAAACUGCAACCCUAGAAUGGGAAGAAAAAAGGGCAGCGGAGACAAGCCACGGUGCAAUCACCGUGAGACUUGAAACACACCCCACCCCCACCCCCCCCGAGCGCUGUAGAUCCAUGGUGGUGACUAUUUUUGCAACUCUAUCCUGAAUGCUUGCUUGAUUUCUGCUUUUUAAUUCUAUCGCUACUAUUUUUUUUUAUUUUUGAUAAUAAAAGUUGGUUUGGGUUUAUGGCA
rnacentral:lncRNA from 1 species